rnacentral:lncRNA from 1 species
CUUCUCAGCUUCUCUUCCACCCGCCGCUGGGCCUCUGCCCGGCAUCCCGCGUCGGGAGCUUUCUCUCUGGAAGGGGCUGGGGACCCGGUUUGGGGCUGGGGCGCGGAGCCUAGCCCAGGACCGGCCCUCGGGCACACGGAGAACGGGUGGGUGGGCACUGGGGAAGUUUCUCAGGAAACAGUGGUGAACCCUCGGGGGGCGCCCACCACUAACAUCUCCGUCCCGUCUUCCGUCCCCCCAGGCGCGUGGCAGGGAGACGUGGCAGCCACCCCAGGAUCUGGAGCUUGGGGGACGCGGGAAGCCCCGCCUCCCUCCCGGGCGAGCGCGGGGGACUCGGUACGCCUGCGAACAAUGGCUCUGCCCCGCCCACCAGCCACGCGCUGCUCACCCGGGACCGCACCGGACUCCGGCCGCACACACAGGCUGGCUGGUGUGUGUGUGCCUGCGCGCACGCAUCCUGUUCAGGACCCGGGCGGGCAGUCCCAUCCCCAAGCCCGCGCCUCCAGGAUGCGUGCGGGAUGUUUUGGAGAUUCUUCAGACUGGCAGGUUGUAAUUUUGGAAUCUUCUUUGUGGAAACCGUCAGGAAACACUGACAUGUGUUUUCACCCAGCAGCAGGCGAAAGGGCUUGGAUGUGGAAUAAGAAUAGCUGGCAGGUAUUGAAUUAUUACUGCAAGCCAAUUCACAAGAAUCGUUUUCUGUAAGCCUCUCUGUGACCCUGGGAGGUGGGUACCCCAUUAUUCCAUUUUAAAAGUGAGGAAAGAGAUAUGGAGAGAUGGAAUAACUUGCCCAUGGUCACAGCAACCAGUAAGUGAUGGAGCUGGCAGUUGAGCCCAGAAACACCAUAUGAGAGCCCAAGCUCUUAAUCCCUGCUCAGGACCAUAUUGCCCUCGGUCCCUGAGAUGCUCUGACCCUACUGAUCUGUCCCUGUGCCCCCAUCUUUUCCGUGUCUGUAGGAGCCUUACCAUGAGAGCUCAGAACCAGGCAGGCUAUGCAUUCACCCGGUGUCCUUCCAUGCCCAUGUCUUUCCCAAAUACUGCCCUAGGAUCCUUCCCCUGGGAAGAGGAGAAAAUACGGAGUGCUGCGCCAAUGAUUCACUUCCCAGGAAGACAAGCACCUGGGAUUUCCUGGGAGGUAGACUAAGCAGCUCCUUUGUUGGCCACUGGUCUCAGGGUCAGGCCAACUCUCUGGCCAGUGACCAGGAGACUGCAUUCCAGUCCUGGCUCCCUGUCCGGUGUGAAAGUUCUGAACAAGACUGGAUGAUUUCAGAUGUGGACAGCUCAUCCAGUCAUGCCUCAGAAGUACUUGGCAUGUGGCACAGAAAUCUGUACGUGGUCUGACCCCCUUCAGGUUCUCUCUGCAAUGUCUAAUUUGCUUAAUUCUUUUGUUUUUUGUUUUUUUGAGAGGAAGUCUCGCUCUCUCCCCCAGGCUGGAGUGCAGUGGUGUGAUCUCGCUUCACUGCAACCUCUGCCUCCCGGGUUCAAGAAAUUCUCCUGCCUCACCCUCCCAAGUAGCUGGGAUUACAGGCAUGCGCCACCACACUUAGCUAAUUUUUUGUAUUUUUAGUAGAG